rnacentral:rRNA from 1 species
AACGAACGCUGGCGGCAUGCCUAGCACAUGCAAGUCGAACGAGACCUUCGGGUCUAGUGGCGCACGGGUGCGUAACGCGUGGGAACCUGCCCUUAGGUUCGGAAUAACUCCCCGAAAGGGGUGCUAAUACCGGAUAAUGUCUUCGGACCAAAGAUUUAUCGCCUUUGGAUGGGCCCGCGUUGGAUUAGCUAGUUGGUAGGGUACAAGCCUACCAAGGCUACGAUCCAUAGCUGGUCUGAGAGGAUGGUCAGCCACACUGGGACUGAGACACGGCCCAGACUCCUACGGGAGGCAGCAGUGGGGAAUAUUGGACAAUGGGCGAGAGCCUGAGCCAGCAAUGCCGUGUGAGUGAUGAAGGCCUUAGGGUUGUAAAGCUCUUUUACCCGGGAUGAUAAUGACAGUACCGGGAGAAUAAGCUCCGGCUAACUCCGUG